rnacentral:ncRNA from 1 species
UUGCAGCGUAUUUGGUGAAGGGAAACAGGUGGAAGUCCUGUACAGACCCGCUGCUGUAAGUUGCAAUCCGCAGUCCGUUUCUAUGACCACUGCCCUUUGGGGUGGGAAGGUCGGGCAAAGGAGCAAUAAGUCAGAAGACCUGCCAGAUAUGC